UAUGAGAGCAUCACGUCCCGGCCCAACACCAAUGUAGUUGAUAGGGGUACCAACAAGCUCUUCGAUCCUUUCCACGUACUGCCGCGCAGCUUUUGGAAGGUCGGAAUAAUUUCUAAUUUUAGAAAUAUCAGACUUCCAUCCAGGAAGUACUUCAUAUUCAACCUAAAACAUACAAAAACAAAUAAAAUCAUAAGAAAGUACAAUACCAAUUCCCAAGCAAUUACUAUUUGAGACCUUAUUACUUCACAUAAAAUCGAAUAAAAGCACUAAAUUCUGCUUUUGCAGAACUCGGGGGAAGACAUGAAAUAAACCUUCAAUUGCUCUAGAAGACGGAGAUCUGAAGGGAAUGAAUUGACUGUGGCGCCAUCAACAUGCUUAUAAGCAACACCUAACUGUAUUUCAUCGAGAUCUGAUAAAACAUCCAGCUUGGUGAGAUUCAGGGAUGAAAACCCAUUGAUCUGACAGGAGAAUCUUAAUGCAACUAUAUCAAGCCAACCACAGCGUCGAGGACGGCCAGUGGUUGUGCCAAACUCCUGCCCAGCAAAUCUAAGGAGAUCACCUCCUGGACCCAACAUUUCUGUAGGGAAAGGACCUGAACCAACUCUUGUAGUGUAUGCUUUCACCUGCAAAGCCAAAAUAAAUAUUAAGAAAUAAAUUUUUCCGUUGUAAACAUAUGCUUAAAUUGUAGACAUUAUACUUUCCGGAUGCAGGAAAACAAAACAAAAAGAAAACACAAUGCUUCUUCAUACGUAAGACAAUUCAAACAAACGGGAAAAGAUGACCAACAAUUUUAACAAACAUUAAAGAAAAGGUAGAUAUCCACAUACCACUCCUAUUAAAUCACCGAUAGCUCUCGGAGCAAUACCAAGACCAGUGCAAAUCCCACCUGCAGAAGGGCUAGAUGAAGUAACAAAGGGAUAAGUGCCAAAAUCAAUGUCAAGCAUGGUUGCUUGACCUCCUUCAACCAAAAUUUUCUUCUUAUGUGCUAUGGCAUCAUUCAUGACAUGCACAGUAUCAGCAAUGAAGGGUUCCAAUCUUUCGGCAUAUCUCUUGUAAUUUUCAACUUCUUUUUUUAGCACGUCUGGACCAUAUUUGAAAUCUUUGAACCUUGAUGCCGCAUCCGAUAACAAAAGAUCAAGCUUGUGAGGAAAAGUAUCCAUGUGCCUCAAGUCACUUACUCUAAUGCCAUUACGGUUAACCUUGCUGGAGUAGCAUGGUCCAAUGCCUCUCUUAGUUGUUCCAAUGAAUGAUUUAGCAAGCUCAGAUUCUCUCAGCCCAUCCACUGUUUGGUGGAAAUCAAACAACAGGUGAGCUCGAUCAGAUAUCAAUAUCCUUCCCUUGCAAGAAACCCCAUUCGAUUCAAGUCCAUCGAUUUCUUGAAAGAGCCCAGGCAGAUGCACUACAACUCCAUUCCCAAUAACACACAGAGUAUCCUCAUUAAGGAUACCGGAUAGCUCAUUUAUAUAUGAGAGCAUCACGUCCCGGCCCAACACCAAUGUAGUUGAUAGGGGUACCAACAAGCUCUUCGAUCCUUUCCACGUACUGCCGCGCAGCUUUUGGAAGGUCGGAAUAAUUUCUAAUUUUAGAAAUAUCAGACUUCCAUCCAGGAAGUACUUCAUAUUCAACCUAAAACAUACAAAAACAAAUAAAAUCAUAAGAAAGUACAAUACCAAUUCCCAAGCAAUUACUAUUUGAGACCUUAUUACUUCACAUAAAAUCGAAUAAAAGCACUAAAUUCUGCUUUUGCAGAACUCGGGGGAAG
rnacentral:lncRNA from 1 species